GUCCCAAUGGUGUAACGGAUAUCACGCCUCACCACGGAUGAGGAGGUUCCAGGUUCAAAUCCUGGUUGGGAUU
rnacentral:tRNA from 1 species